UAUGUGAUCGUCUCUCGCAUAUCAAUAAGCGGAGGAAAAGGAAACUAACAAGGAUUCCCCUAGUAACGGCGAGUGAAGCGGGAAGAGCUCAAAUUUGAAAUCUUAAAGGGUUUCCCUUUACGAAUUGUAGUUUAAAGAAGUGUUUUCCUGUUGAGGUUUUGGUAAAAGUUCUUUGGAAUAGGACAUCAUAGAGGGUGAGAAUCCCGUAUUUGACCUUUACUUUCAACUUUGUGAUACACUUUCAAAGAGUCGGAUUGUUUGGGAAUGCAGUCCAAAAUGGGUGGUAAAUUUCAUCUAAAGCUAAAUAUUGGCGAGAGACCGAUAGCGAACAAGUACCGUGAGGGAAAGAUGAAAAGAACUUUGAAAAGAGAGUUAAACAGUACGUGAAAUUGUCAAAAGGGAAGCGUUUGACACCAGUGUUGUUUUUUCUGAAAAUCAAUUAAAGAACUGUUUAUGCUGAAGCUGUUUAGACUUUAUCAGCUAUCUGUUUAGUUUUGAGCUUUUCUUUAAUGCACUUUUCAGUUAACAAGUCAACAUCAAUUUCUUUUGCUGUAAAAAAGCUUGAGGAAGGUGGCUUGAGAUUCGUCUUAAGUGUUUAUAGCCUCUUGCCUAUGCAGUCGGAGAGAUUGAGGUCUGCAGCGUAGAUCCUUCGGGGCUAAAUGCAUUUGUGCUAAGUUAUAGCAUUUUAUAGACAACUUGUUGACUAUGAUUUGUCUUGUAGCUUACUCGCUUAUGUUAUUUUACCUACGCUUAGGAUGUUGAUCUACAGAGCGAGAGU
rnacentral:rRNA from 1 species